GACCCGGUAGCUCAGUUUGGUUAGAGCGUUGUACUUAUAAUGCAUUGGUCGCGAGUUCGAUCCUCGCUCGGGUUA
rnacentral:tRNA from 1 species